GGCCCCGUGGGGGCGGGGAGGCCGGGGGGAGCGGGCCGCGCGGAAGGGACUCCCGGAGCCGGCUGCAGUGCGGACGGGACCGGCGCGCUCCGGGGCCCCGGGCCCAGGUAGUCAGACCUGUCCCGACAGCCAGCCGGAGGUCUACACGAGGGGUGGCCACGGUAGGAGGGAGUCCCAGAGGCCUCACGGACUGGCGAGUCUGAACGAAUGAGCGCCCGAGUCCCAGGAAAUGUCAAGUUUUAUCCUCUAAAGAACCUCAGAGACUUUUUUAAAGGUGAAACUUUUCAUCUUUAGGUAAGGAAACGUUUUCUGUUGUUUAUCCAUCUAUUGAAAAGAGAACAUUUCAUUUAGAGGAAAGAAGUAUCAUGAACUUAAGCUUUGCCUAUGCUAACUGAUAUAAGAUAUUAUAAAGAUGAUAGAGAGCUGGGUUUUUAAGUUAAAUAAAACAAACUAGUUGAAAAUUUUUCACUAAAAAAAUUCAUUUGCUGGGGGGGAAAAAGUCCCUUUUUUUGCAUUUUCUAAUAGACGGACAUUAUAAUAGGAUUCCCAUCAGGAUCUUUUCCAAGUAUUUAAGAUAUAACAAAAUGAAAAUUAUAUUUUGCAAAAUCUAGGGACACCUAGAAUAUCCCUAAACAUAAAUAUGAACGUAUGUGAUAAUAAAAAAAUAGACUAUUUUGAUAAAUGUGAAAGACUGGUCACUGCUUUAAAAGCAGGCCAGUGAAAUAAAGUUAUUUAAGGUUUGGGCGGUAACAAAGAAGCUUAAACUCUGGGAUAUACUCACAUGCUAGGAAAAUAUUGCUUUGUAGGGUCAAAAUGUAAAUAUAAACAAUUUGUUUAAUCAGGCAAGAGCCUUUCCUUUGUGUGUAACUUCUUUUCACUUUCUAUUUGUGUCAUACUGGUAACAUAUGAAAAGGGAAGACAGCUAACUUUUUAAGCAUAUUAAAAUAUUAGCAACUCACUCAAUUUUUGGCAGUAAUUCUAUUAGUGCAGUUUACUUGCAUGAACAGUAUAAAUCACAUUUAUGAAAAUUAGAUGUUUUAAAGCAGAUAAACUAAAAAUACAAUUAAAACGUCUAAACAAAAUUUAGAGAUGCUUUGAAGUAUUUUAUGAAGUUAAAAGAACGAAAGAAGCAGUUAGAGAAAUUAUAUAUAGAAUCUGUUGUAAAAUAUGCAAAUCUGUACAUUCUAGCCUUCUCACCAGUACCACAUUUGGAAAAAGAAAUAAAUUGCAAUGUUUGUCUUCUGUUAAUUUAUAUUCUGGAGAGUAAACAAGACUUCUCCUGAUUUUAAAUACAUGAAACAGCUACAUAUAAACAUUUCUAAGAGACACAGUAUAGAGGUUUCGGUUUUUAAGAAAUACACGUAAAAAUUCAUGUGGUUAAACAGAAUCUAAAAACUUUGAGAGAAAAGUACUAAAUUUUUUAUAUGGAUUUGAAAAAUUCAUUUCAAGAAUAAAUUUUUCUCCUUAUAAAAACAUUCAUAUUAAUAUCAAGCAUAUAGGUUAAGACUUACUUAAAUUACUUAAUUAGGAUAUAUUAAACUUCUAAGUUAUUUUUAAAAAAAUAAUUUUGGUAAUCUGAAAAAGAUUCUAACAUUAUUUCUAAUGUACUCUUUAAAUAAAGUCCUUUAAUAUGUCAGUUUUUAAAUCUUAUAUUUUAAAAGAUAAAAAAUGGAAAAAAACAAACCUUGUAAUAGAAAAUAUAAUUUUAUAGUACUGAGAAAAGAGUUGUAAGCAUUUUAUAAAUAUAUGAAGAGAUCAGUUUCAUUUCUGACUUGUUUUUGAGACUUUCUUAUGAAUCGUAUAUUUUAACAUCAGAAGAAUAAUAUAUAAAAUAUGGUUUAUAUUUUUAUGGUCUAGCAGAUAUUUAAAAAUAGAAAAAAAUGCAACUUUGCCUAGCUAAAUUCUAACCAAGAUAAGAUGUUGUUAAAAUUAGAAAAAUACAGAAGCUAAGAUAGUAUAAUAAACUAAGAUGUAAAAUAUAUAAAUACAUAUAUAUUUUAUGUCUUGACAUAUAACAUCUUAAUUGUUAAUGAAACCAUAUACAGUAACAUGAAUGAAAAAAGAAGAAUGAUGCAGAAGUAUUUUCUUAUUGUAGUUUACUAAAUCAAAAAAAAUUACUAAUAAGCUAAAUGUAAUGUUAAGGGUCAUGUUUAAAUUUAAAAUUAGAUUUUGUUGAGUUUUGCUGAAGACGUAUCUUUCCUAAAAGACUUUGGGGGUUUUUUGUGUGUGUGUGCUAGGAUUUCUAAGUUUUGUGAUUUGAAAUCCAUGAUACAUUUUGAGUGCCCUUUCAAACGGCAAAAUGUUUCCGUGUUAAAAUCAGACCUUAUGUACAUUUCAUUUUAUAUUUUGGUAGGAGAAAAAAAGCAGGUACUGUAGGAGAAUUCUAGUUUUGUUUUUCGUGCAUGCAUCAAAUACCAAACAAUUAUUCUGUGUGUCAGUCGGUUACACGUCUGAGCAAGUUACAGUUUGUGUAAAGAGUAUCUUACACAUUUAACUUAUAUUGAUGAUACAGUGACCCCUAAAUACGAUUGUCAUCUUUACUGAAAUUAUGGGCAGUGUAUUUAAAAGAAGUGCAUUUUAAAAACUUAUUUUUAAUUGAAACGAGGAACUUUAAAAGGGGUUCUCUCAUCAGCAAAAUGUGUGAUUGUGCAGUUUUCUCAAAGAAUGCACUCUGGGUUUUCUUUUCAAACUAUAUGAAACUGUCUUUUGGCUGAUUGCUUGCUAGUUUUUAAGGUCAGAAAGGGAUAAAGUAGGAGUGCAGGCUAUUUCUGAUUAUUUUUCUAUCAAUCGAAAGGAAAAGGGAAAACAGUAUAUAUUGGCACAACAGAGUUUUUCCUUUAAAAAAAAAAGAAAGAAAAAAAAGAACUUGAAAUCGAAAAGAUAGAUUGCCCAUGCCUUACGUUUCUUACUGGGACUUGUUUGGAGUUGCAUACAUUUUUUGGGGGGUGGGGGGAAGUUCAUCUUAGGGAACGUGGAGUUAGAGACCACUGCAGCCAGCUGUAGGACUGCCCUCCUCUGUGGUUGGUGCCCAGAGUUUAGAAGCACAGGUUUUUGAGUUGGUAAGUGUUGAGAACCGGAAUAUCCGUGUUACCACAACCUAGGAAAAUGCCAGAAAAUUAAAAAGGUGAAGGGGCAUGUUAACCGCGCCCCCCCUCCCAGUGUCUGGCCCCGCGGGGAGGGCUCCGGGGACCGCGCAGGGAAGCAGCCGGCCGCCGGGACCCCGGGGGGCAGCUGCG